UACAGGAAAUUAUGGCUACUAAAUCUUCCCUUAAAAAUCAAAAUUACAAUCUGAAAGAUAUCGUGAAAUUUUUUACCUACACGAGUUAAUCUAGUUCAGAAAAAGCUAAUAAACAUUACAGUGUGUCCACGAUGUGGAGUUGGUUCAGAGAGUAUGAAUCACCUUUUCCACGAAUGCCCUGUGUCAAAAUCAGUAUGGAAGGAAUUACCAUGUAAUGCUAUGGUGCAAGAACAACAGAUGGAGUUUACAGAGUGGCUCACCGAAGUUUUUGCGAAGAACUCGGAAUCUCAGUGUAGGAUGUUUUGUUGUACUUUAUGGGCUAUAUGGGGAGACCGAAAUAAUAGAGUGCAUAAUAAAGUGAGCAAAUCUGGAAAAGAAAUAAGUAGAUUUGUUAGUAGCUACAUACAAGAGUUGGAUGGGAUAGGAAAAAGUAAAGCAGAAGCUUAUAAAUCUACAAGCAAAUGGAAGAAGCCACCUGACCAGAUUGUGAAGAUAAACUUUGAUGCAGCAUAUGACGGAAAGAGUAAGCAAUCGGCGGUGGGGAUUGUGGCUAGAGACAACGAAGGUAAGGUCUUACUCUCAUGCUCGAUGAUUUACCAAUAGGUGGCAUCCCCUUUUGCAGCAGAGGCGCUCGCAAGCCGGAAAGCGAUCAAAAUAGGUAAAGAAAUGAAAUGGAGAAAAAUCAUUAUUGAAGGAGAUUCACUAUCGAUAAUAAAGAAAUGCAGAUCUAAUAUCCCAGAUAAAUCAAAGGUGUGUGCCUAUAUCAGUGAUAUUCAUAAGCUACAAUCAAGUUUCCAGGAAUAUAGAUUUGAACAUGUUCCAAGAGCAGUAAACAGCCUUGCGCAUAUGAUAGAAAAAGCAACGUUGAGGGAUAAACGAAUAUUAUACCUGGUUGAGGGAGUCCCAGAAUAUGCAAAAGAUCAGAAUGGGAGGGAUCGGGGGGGGGGGGAAUCGGAUUGAAUGAUAGGGAUGAAAAUGAAAUGGGUAAACCGAGAGGUAGCAGGUAAAGCAAUGACAGAAUAAGGGGUUUCCUCGGGAGUAUGAUUUCAUCAUGAAGAAGUUUUGGCAGGUGAAGGAACAAGACGAUUAAAAGUUUUGAUGCUGAUUGGGAAAGAUUUUACAGCAGCAUUAAUGGCUUCCAGAAGGUUCAGUUAUGCUGCUUUUUAGGAUCUAAUGGUAGUAGCCUUUUGACGUUUCAGUUUUUUCAUUUUUUAUUGUUUUGUUUUGGUGAUAGGAUCAAGGCUCAAACCGGGCCUGGACUGGUUCUGUUUUUGUUUUUUCAUUUUUGAAUUCAAUAAUACAGC
rnacentral:lncRNA from 1 species